ensembl:snRNA U2 U2 spliceosomal RNA
AUUUCUUCUCUAUCUUCUGAGAUCAAAUGUUCUUAUCAGUUUAAUAUUUGACACAUACUCUAUUUGAGGACAAUAUAUUAAAUGAAUCUUUGGAGCUGGGAGAUGGAACAGGAGCUUGCUCUGUCCACUCCAUGCAUCAACCUUGUAUUGCAGUACCUCCAGGAAUAAUGNNNNNNNN